rnacentral:rRNA from 1 species
GACGAACGCUGGCGGCGUGCUUAACACAUGCAAGUCGAACGCAAAGGCCUUGUUCUUGCGCUGGGUGGGUGUGGGGCACACGUGUGAGAAAUACGUGUAUACCCUCCUCUUGUCUCUGGGAUAAUCCUGGGAAACGGGGUCUAAUCCUGGAGACGCCAUUUCACCACGGUGGGGUGUGUGGAGUGUGGUUGGCUGGUUUUGGAUGCGCUCAGGGCCUAUCAGCUUGUUGGUGGGGUAAUGGCUCACCAAGGCGACGACGGGUAGCCGGCCUGAGAGGGUGACCGGCCACACUGGGACUGAGAAACGGCCCAGACUCCUACGGGAGGCAGCAGUGGGGAAUAUUGCACAAUGGGCGGAAGCCUGAUGCAGCAACGCCGCGUGAGGGAUGACGGCCUUCGGGUUGUAAACCUCUUUCAGCUGGGACGAAGCGUGAGUGACGGUAAGUGGUAAAGAAGCACCGGCUAACUACGUG